rnacentral:rRNA from 1 species
GCUAAACGCGAAGAACCUUACCAAGGCUUGACAUACACCAGAACACCCUGGAAACAGGGGACUCUUUGGACACUGGUGAACAGGUGGUGCAUGGUUAUCGUCAGCUCGUGUCGUGAGAUGUUGGGUUAAGUCCCGCAACGAGCGCAACCCUCGUUCUAUGUUGCCAGCACGUAAUGGUGGGAACUCAUGGGAUACUGCCGGGGUCAACUCGGAGGAAGGUGGGGAUGACGUCAAAUCAUCAUGCCCCUUAUGUCUUGGGCUUCACGCAUGCUACAAUGGCCGGUACAAUGGGCUGCGAUACCGUAAGGUGGAGCGAAUCCCAAAAAGCCGGUCCCAGUUCGGAUUGAGGUCUGCAACUCGACCUCAUGAAGUCGGAGUCGCUAGUAAUCGCAGAUCAGCAACGCUGCGGUGAAUACGUUCCCGGGUCUUGUACACACCG